rnacentral:rRNA from 1 species
UACGUAUGGUGCAAGCGUUAUCCGGAUUUACUGGGUGUAAGGGGAGCGCAGGCGGCGCGGCAAGUCCGAUGUGAAAACCCCCGGCUCAACCGGGGGACUGCAUUGGAAACUACCGGGCUGGAGUGCCGGAGAGGUAGGCGGAAUUCCUGGUGUAGCGGUGAAAUGCGUAGAUAUCAGGAGGAACACCAGUGGCGAAGGCGGCCUACUGGACGGUGACUGACGCUGAGGCUCGAAAGCGUGGGGAGCAAACAGG